rnacentral:rRNA from 1 species
GAAGGUCCAGCCUGCCCAGUGACUAAGUUAAACGGCCGCGGUACCCUAACCGUGCAAAGGUAGCGCAAUCACUUGUUCUUUAAAUGAGGACUAGUAUGAACGGCAUCACGAGGGUUACACUGUCUCCCUAUUCCAUUCAGUGAAACUGAUCUUCCCGUGAAGAAGCGGGAAUAUAAAUAUAAGACGAGAAGACCCCAUGGAGCUUUAAACUCAGUGUCAUCUGCCACUUCAAUACCCUCUUAAUUACGCAGACCAUGAUAACUAGUUUUCGGUUGGGGUGACCGCGGAGUAAAACAAAACCUCCACAACGAAAGGAACUAACAACCUAAUCCAAGAGCAACAUCUCUAAGAAUCAACAAAUUGACUUAAUUGAUCCAAUUACUUGAUCAACGAACCAAGUUACCCUGGGGAUAACAGCGCAAUCCAUUUCAAGAGCUCAUAUCGACAAAUGGGUUUACGACCUCGAUGUUGGAUCAGGGUAUCCCAGUGGCGCAGCAGCUACUAACGGUUCGUUUGUUCAACG